rnacentral:ncRNA from 1 species
CCCCCGGGGAGCGCGUAGGCGCUGAGAGUGCGGUCGGGACACCGGCCGCAGACCCGAGGAACCUGACCUGGUUAGCACCAGCGUAGGGAGAUGG